rnacentral:misc_RNA from 1 species
GAUGAAGAACGUAGCGAAAUGCGAUAAGUAAUGUGAAUUGCAGAAUUCAGUGAAUCAUCGAGUCUUUGAACGCACAUUGCGCCCCCUGGUAUUCCGGGGGGCAUGCCUGUCCGAGCGUCAUUGCUGCCCUCAAGCACGGCUUGUGUGUUGGGCCGUCGUCCCCCUCCUAGGGGACGGGCCCGAAAGGCAGCGGCGGCACCGCGUCCGGUCCUCGAGCGUAUGGGGCUUCGUCACCCGCUCCGUAGGCCCGGCCGGCGCUUGCCGACGACCAUCAAUCUCUUUCUCCAGGUUGACCUCGGAUCAGGUAGGGAUACCCGCUUAACUUAAGCAUAUCAAUAAGCGGAGGA